CUGUAAAAGGAAGGUGAGAGAGUGACCUACUCAAAGCCACAAAAUAAGGUUUGAAGGUAGAGAGUGAGCACACAUCUCUUCGCUGUGAGGAGCUGCAACAUAAAGAAUCCCACCAAGAGGGAGAACCUCGUAUCUUUUUGAUAUUGGGUGAAAGGCACACUUGUGAAUAAAUUGUUCCAUGGCAAUUUUGGCAACUGACAACAUUCUUCUUCAUCACAAACAACUGAUGUGACUGAUUUCAAGUUCGGAGUGGCCUUGCGGGAGUCUUCAGCGACUGCUUUCCAUUGCAAGUCUCUGUCAGUCCCCAAUCUGAGUUGAAAUCUGAGUCCAAAUAAAAGCCUAUUGACUCGGU